UUUUCCUUGAAAGAACGAUAAAUCGGGGAGAGUCCGACGAAUAUCUUUAUCAAUUUGUUCAAGUAUUUGAUUGUCAUCGAAAUAUUCCUUCCAUUUUGAAUCAUCACUAGUAUUUAAAGGAUGGUCACUGUUUUCGCCUGAUUCCUCGUGUAGAGUUAGUUUCCUCCAAGGAUCAAUAAGAAGCUCUUGAACGAAAGAUGUAUAAGUUUUUCGAUGUUUUUCUAGAACUGAUUGCCAGUUUGAUCUAUCGGUAGGAAGGAACUCAAGCAUCAACAUCCAAGCUUUUGCCCUAAGUGAAUAUUCAUCAGGAAUUCCUUGAAUACAAAGCGAGCAUAAACCAGGGAGAGAAAUUGGCUCUUCCGAAUUUAAAAUGUCUUUAAAUUUUUCAAUGCGUUGCUUAUAGUCCAUAAUAAACUAGAAGCGAUUCAAAUAAGAUAUUAUGUAGUUUGACUAUAUCCAAUUUAGUUAUAUUAUCAUAUAUAAAAUAUUACUGUUGAAAAUUAAAUAUAUGAAGAAAAGGAGAGCGCAAUUGGUGUGUUCAGUAGCCUGUUUCACACGUGGAUGAUGGAACUAAGUUAGCUACUAAAAUUGAAUGCAAGUUUAAGAACCGACUAAAUUUUCUGACUUAUUUUUUAUACUAAUUUCCUUCUUAACAAUACUUCCCUAAUCAAAUACUGUAGGAAAGUACAGAGUAAUGAACGUCCUUAGUAGAUGUACAGUAUAGGUAAGAUUGAUGUAGGUGCAACAUACAGACCAGGAAAGAAAUAUUUGGUUUAAACAGCACCUAGAACGAGCAAUUAAUAAU